CCUGGGACUUCCCCGAGGACACCGCAGCCGGCACCUGCCCCGCUCCCGGAGCACGAGCCUCGUCGGCAUCGCGGCCGCCAGCACCUCCUCCUCCACACCCAGAUGUUCCCAGAUGUGGCCUCAGGACCGGCGCUGGUGGCACCUCGGCUCCCUACAUCCCCCGUCCCAGCUGCAGAGCCACUGGGGGCCUUCUGCAGGGAAGGUCAGAGCAGCUGAGCCGGGCUGAAAAAUCUGCAAGCGUACAGCGCGCUAAGAGGGCUGUCCCCGUGCCUGGAGCUGGCUGGGAAAGGAGGCUGGAGGAGAUGGCAGGAAGGAUGCACAGCCCCUCUCCGCAGCACCAGCUCUCUGCCACACUGCCAGCCCGCCUGCACCAUGCAGCCAGCCCAGUCCUUCAGCACCUGUGUGUGAUGUCCCUGUGGAGGAGAGCAGAUGCUGGGCAAGCCUGGACCCCAUUUUUUUGUUGGUUCACCAUAGCAGGAGCUCAAGGUCACCCAGGCACGGCGUGGGCCCAGGUUUGGGCCAAUGCAGCAGCCCUCCUUAGCCACAGCAUCCCUCUCCUCGCUGCAUCCCUCCCUGCCCUGUGCUUGCCCUGUGCUUCUCUUCUGCCCGCCCCCCCCCCCCCCCCUUGGCACCACAGUGCUCGUCCUUCUUUCUAGAGGCAAACUGGACGGCUACGGUUGGAAACCAGCGACCUGGAAAGCCGAG